rnacentral:lncRNA from 1 species
GCCCGCAAAUCAUGUUAAUUUAUGUCAGCAUUUUUCUAAACAUCAGUGCACUAAACUUGUUAAACUACCAUAUACUAUAGCACCUGCCUCCCUAAAUGCAAUUCUAUAAUGUGCUUUUCAAUCAAAUAUUCACUGUUUAUAGUCCAUUGCAAAGUUUUGAAAUAAAGGUGACAACAGAUUCAGAACAAUUCUAGAUGAUUUGAAUAUAAGUCAUAGUUUGUAGCAUUGGUCAAAUCUAGUGAGAUAUCCUAAUCCAUAUUGGUAAUGACUAGUACUGAUUUAACACCUUGAGCUUCUACUCACUGAAAUUGAUGGUAUCAGAUAGAAUCAAUAAAACUCGACACAGGUUGGUCAAGUUAGGCUAAUUUGAGACAAUUUGACCCCUCACAAGAAGAAAAAUAUAAAAAGAGAAGAAGGAAGGGAAGAUGAAAAAGAAGAGGAAGCCAAGGUGGAAGAAAUAUUAAAAUAUACCAAAAAAUACAACUGUAAACCAGAGGAGACAAUACUGCUGUUGUGUCUGCUAUUUGUUGUGGCCAUCAUAAUUGUUGUCUACAUAUAUUAUUGUAAACCAGAGGAGACAAUACUGCUGUUGUGUCUGCUAUUUGUUGUGGUCAUCAUAAUUGUUGUCUACAUAUAUUAUUGUAAUGCUUAUCAUCAAUUUCUCACUGCAUAUAAAAAUAGAUGAGAAGAUAUCGAGAGAGAGAGAGAGAGAGAGAGAGAGAGAGAGAGAGAGAGAGAGAGAGA